rnacentral:rRNA from 1 species
GACAGAGGAUGCAAGCGUUAUCCGGAAUGAUUGGGCGUAAAGCGUCUGUAGGUGGCUUUUCAAGUCCGCCGUCAAAUCCCAGGGCUCAACCCUGGACAGGCGGUGGAGACUACCAAGCUGGAGUACGGUAGGGGCAGAGGGAAUUUCCGGUGGAGCGGUGAAAUGCGUAGAGAUCGGAAAGAACACCAAUGGCGAAGGCAGCUCGCUGGGACGUAACUGACGCUGAGACGCGAAAGCGUGGGGAGCAAACAGG